UGGGCACUCGAGGCCCCUAAAGGUCCGUUGAAGACCACAACGUGGAUAGGCGGGGUGUGGAAGCGUGGUAACACGUGCAGCUUACCCGUACUAAUUGACCGUGCGGCUUGACCAUAUAACACCCAAG
rnacentral:rRNA from 1 species